rnacentral:pre_miRNA from 1 species
GGGGUGGUGGAGGGGUCCCUCAGCCCAGAUUGCGAGAGGGCGCGGGUCAGGCCAGGGGACUCCAUCGGUGCAUG